GUGCCAGCAGCCGCGGUAAUACAGAGGGUGCGAGCGUUGUCCGGAAUCACUGGGCGUAAAGGGCGCGUAGGCGGCUGGCUAAGCGGGUGGUGAAAGCCCGGGGCUCAACCCCGGGUCGGCCAUGCGAACUGGUCAGCUGGAGCACGGUAGAGGCACAUGGAAUUCCGGGUGUAGCGGUGGAAUGCGUAGAGAUCCGGAAGAACACCGGUGGCGAAGGCGGUGUGCUGGGCCGUAGCUGACGCUGAGGCGCGACAGCGUGGGGAGCAAACAGGAUUAGAUACCCUGGUAGUCC
rnacentral:rRNA from 1 species